rnacentral:lncRNA from 1 species
CUGAGAGCAAGAGAGAAAAGGGGCGGAGCUAGGAAGAAAGAAGGAGGACAAUCGAGAGAGAGAGCUAGUGGGGAGAGGGGGUUGAACGGCAAAAAGAAAAAACCCAGAAGAGAGGAAAUAGCGGCUGGGGUUAAGGAAAAAUAAAAAGGGGAAGCAAGUUUACGGCUGAAGGAGGAGGGAACGAAACAAGAGACUGGAGAAAGAAACCAUUGGGGUCUAAGGGAAAGUGAGGAACUAGAAGAGAGUAGAGUGAUUGGAGUAGCGGCUGGAAGAAAGAAAACUGAGCUAGGAGAGAGCCAAAGGGAAAACAGCAAGGAAGAAGAAUCAGGAGGAAAAAUCGAGAGAUCUGAGGAAGAGCAAGCGGAAAAGGAGAUCCAAGGCUGAAAACCCAGGUUCAGGCUUGGUCGUUGAUACCACCAUCGAACCCAGGCUGAAGUUGCGAGUCCGAAGGCGGUGAACAGGUAAUCUUCGACCCAUUUUUCGUUCAUGCCACUUCUCGUAUGAAACCUGUGAGUAUGGUUAUGAGGUCGAGGGAGAGACAGUCUACCUGCAAGGUUCACCAUUUUGUAGUGGUUUUCUCGCAUGUCACUUGUGUUUUACAAUCCAAAGCUGCUUUCUUUUAGUCGUUUGUUUGUUCCCUUCGGCUGUCUGAUGGUUCCGUUUUGAUUCCAUGAUUGACUGAUGAUUCUUCACGGAUGAAGUUAUAAGUCUGAGAGUUCUUAAGAUCGUAAACUACAAAAUUCGAUUUUUGAUUGAUGGUUUGGGCUGGACGUUUGGUAUUUGUUUGAGCUUGUUGGUAUGAAGCUUAGAAAUUGCAGUUUAGGAAACCAGAUUUCUGCUAAAAAUGCUUGAACUGUCCAACCCUUUAGCCGUUGAGUUAUUGAACUUGUUUCAUAGCCUUAUCAUGUUUACUUUUGAUGUUUCUUUUUGCCAUUGUUCCUUUUCCCUGUCUGGUGUAGUUAAAGCGUUAGUUUGAAGAAAAAAUAUCUGAUACAUGAUGAGUAGUCUUCUUGGAUGCUGUUGCUUAAUAUUUUAAAACAAGAAAAUGAAAUGAAGUUGCCUGCUGCAUUUAGUAGUUGUUCUCGUUGGUUUGGCCUGGUUUCUCCCAGAUCGAUCAAUGAGUGAGGAUUAUGUGGGUUGGGGCUGAUGAGAUAACAAAUUGUUAGAGUUUUCAUACGGACCUAAAUUGCAUGGAAUGAGCUGCGCAGUUCACAGCAGAAUUUCUGCUGCAAUUUCAUCUUUUCGGUCAGAUUGCAUUUUCCUUCUUUUUGCCUUUGUUUGUUUUUGAACUACCAUAGCUGUGGCUGUUUAGUCUAGGUAAUGUCCAGUCUUGUGCUACUUUGGCUGAAAUACCUGAAUUGGGAUCCAAUGCUUGCUGGAAAAUGAAUGAUUGAAGUUGUCAAACCAGUGUUGCACGCAUGUUUAUUCCAGAAAUUUGCAUGAUAUCUUCUUGGGUUUCUUGUUUGUUUGGAUUAUGAUGGUGGGUUUAGUUGUGGGCUUGGUCUAAAGUUGUGACGUUGAGUUUAAUUACAUCUAAUCAAGGUUGUGAUAAGAAUCUGAGUUUAUAAGAAAAUUGCUGCAAAGUUGUUUGGCCGGAAACAUUGCUGAAGCUGAAACCUUUUAUUGUUGCUUGCAUGUUAUUUCAGACCUGAAUAUGAUGUCUUUCUGGGUUGUUUGCUUGCUUGGAUCAUGGUUGCUCAAGCCAAAGUUGUUUGUUGCUUAAUCUUGGUCAAAGUUAUGUAUUUGAACCAGAAAAUUUGAGUCAGUUUGCAAGUAAAAAUGCAGCAGAUUUCACUUUCAGCUAUAGCAGUUUUCAUUCUUCAAUGUUUGCAUGUUCAUUCUUCAAUGUUUGAAUGAUUUCCACCUUUGUCUUUGCUGAUUUGGGAUGUUAAACUUAUGUUUUUACUGUCUAGUUUAAAGUUUUGGAUGUUAGCUUUGGUUAAGGUAUGUGAUUGGAUGUGGAGUUGGCAUUUGGGAGUGAAACAUGAAGGAAAUGCAGCUGAAUUGGCGCAGAAAUGAAAGGCUUCUACGUGUUUUGCAUGCAUGGAUAAUUUCAGAAUUGUCUCUUAACCCCCCAAGUCUCCCCUUGUUCUACUAUGACCCAAAUUUGAGAAAAACUAAUCAAUUGGGUCCCUGAGAUCUUUUGCAGCAAUGCAUUAUGGCCCAAUUACAUUUCUUUUUCUUGCAUUAGGUCCUAAGGUGGGUGUAUUUUGAGUCAUCAUUUGGCCUUUCAUUGUUUUGGGACUUUUGAAGCUCUUAAAUUUUUCAAUGGGUUUUUAUUUAGUUUGGUUGAUUAAUGGUUGCUAUUGAGUUUUCAAAAUGCAUGUUUAAAUCAUUCAUGGAUCCUUGUUCAUUCUUGGACCUUCGAAUUUCCAUAAAUGUUUGUUUGGAUCUUGUUAUUUACUUGGAGAACUUUUUGUGUUUUUUAAAUGUUUCAAUUAGGUUCAAAUGAUUGAGUUGUGCUUGCUUUUGGGUCUUUAGUAGAUGUUAUGCUUGGGGAUCGGAUGAUCAUGCCUUUUGCCUUGGUCUUUAAGUAGUUUUGACUUCAUUGAGUUGCAAUUGAGGGAAAGUUUGAUGUUUCGGUGGAUUCAAAUUGUUUAGUUUAUAUCUUAUCACUAAAUUGGUGCAUUAAUCUUUUGUUUUUGGUGAUUUUAGCCUAAGUUAGUCUUUUCUUGGGUGACUCUAGCCAAGUUGAGUUUGUUUACUUCCUUAGUAUCACCAACGGGGAGGUAUAAUCUCUUUUACCCCUUUUGUUUCUCUCUUAUGUGAACUAAUGUGUUAAUUGAAAUUUGCAUGUCUACUUGCUUUCCUAGCCUCUCCUUAUUUCCUUUCAUUUAUUUCAUUUACUUUUGAUUUUUAUUAAUGGGGUAUGUGUACACCUCUUGGCUUGUAAUAGAUAGGGCGUAGCAAGUAAUUUGGUCCAUUUUCCCUUUCCCCUUUGUUUUAGUUAGCAAAUGUAAUGGUUGCAUGCCUAUGUGUUAUAUGUUAAAUGCUUUAUUAGGAUCUUGCAUCUAGUCGAGCAUGAUAAGUGCUACAUGAUUUAGGUGAUUUGCAUGUCUACUCGCUUUUUGUAGUAUAGAUGAAUGGAAUGGAUGAAUGUACGUCACCACACUAGUCCAACGCUAGUUGUGGCUUCUUCUAUCGUUUCCACUAGUCCAACGCUAGUCGGAAUUCAUAGAAUGGGCUAGUCCAAUGCUAGACCCAAUAGGUUCUUUUUUCCCUUUUUCAUUAAGUGCAUGAUCACCACAUAUCACGCAUUUUUCCUUAGUUUAUCAUUUGGUAUGUUCCUCAAACCCCUUCCCCAUCACUUUAGGACUUGCAUCUCAUGCUAGUUAGGGUUCAUUUGCGUGAAAAUCCCCUUCCGAUAAGGGAAACGAGCGAGUGUGGCUACUCGAUAGCCUUAGCAUGUGACGCCCCGGAAAAAAUGAGUUUGAGAACCCGAAAAUUUUCUAAUUUUCUAGGGUUUAUUUAUUUAAUCGCCCGCCUUUUCUACAUUUUCUUGAUUAGAAAAAUUCCCCAGAUAAAGUUUAUGAGCAAAGAUAGUUUUAAAAUGAUUUUUCUAGUAUCGGUUAGUUUUGAGAAAUUAAGAGCGUAUUUUGAACGUGGGACCCGCAAGUGCGGUAAAUGUAAUAUAUUUUUGAUAACUUGUUGGAGUUUUGUGCUAAGUGAUAUUUUUCUACAAGGUGUUAAGAGAUAUUUAUGGAUUGGUGUGAGAGGGAACAAAGAGAUAGAGAUUCAUUAUUUAAGUGACAAGUGUCGCUUGGCCAUUGGGUGGAAUUUUUGACUUUUAUGCCAUGUCUUACCAUUUGACUUAAUAAACAAAAACUUUACCAAAAAUUUGCUCCAUUUCCAAGCUUCAUGGCCGAACCUCUCUCAAGAAAGGAAGAAAGGAAAGCUUUCAUCUUACUUCUUCAUUUCUUGCUUCAAUCAAACAAUUUAACCGAUUAAACUUGGAUUUGCUCCAUAAAAACCUUUCUCUUGGUAGUAUUAAGGUGUGUAGUGAAGUGGUUUGAGAAGCAAAGGUGCUAAGUUGGGUCUUUUCUUGGGUUUGUAAGGUAAGUGACUAAGGAACCUUUCCUUUGAUCUUGAUAAUGUUCAAUUAGUGAUUGGUGGUGGUUGAAUAAGUGAUUUUAUGGUUGAUUUCCUGAUUUUGGUUGAAAAUGAUGAAGUUUUAUUAUUUUUGGGGAUUUUUCUGUUUUCAUAUGGAUAUGAUUGUGUGGCUAUAUAUGAUGAUUGGAAUUGAUGUUUAAGGACUCUAUGAGGUGGAAAAAGUGAUUAAUUGCAAUCAAUUUCUGUUUUGGAAGAAAUUUCAGAAAAUCAGGGUUUUGUGAUGAACAUUCUGUCCGAAUUUUUAGGUCCUAGACAGAGGCCGAAUUGGCCUUUCCGUAAAACAUGAAAGUUGUAGGGAAUGACAUUUUAAAGGUGCCUACAAAAUUUCAGGUCAAUUGGAGCAGUGUGGAAUGAGAAAAGUCGAAGUUACUAUUGCUGUUCUGGUUUUGCCCGAAAUUGAGAAGUGCGUCUGUAAUUGGUUGUUUUGGCUGGAAUUGCUUCCGAAUUAGUUGUUGAGGCCUUCUG